rnacentral:rRNA from 1 species
CCCUUAGAUGUCCUGGGCCGCACGCGCGUUACACUGAGUGUCUGAGAUACGAGUCUGCCUGGUCCGGCAAGGUCUAGGUAAUCGCUAAAAGACACAUCAUGCUUGGGAUAGAUUAUUGCAAAUAUUAAUCUUGAACGAGGAAUUCCUAGUAAGCGCAAGUCAACAGCUUGCGUUGAUUACGUCCCUGCCCUUUGUACACACCGCCCGUCGCUACUACUGAUUGGAUGUUUAAGCGAGGUUCUCGAACUGCUAGCGACUUAGCUUCGGUGAGGUCGCAGUGUGGGAAGUGAACCUAGCUUUGGUGUCUGGAGGAAGUAAAAGUCGUAACA